UACGUAGGGUGCGAGCGUUAAUCGGAAUUACUGGGCGUAAAGCGUGCGUAGGUGGUGAGUUAAGUCUGAUGUGAAAUCCCCGGGCUCAACCUGGGAAUGGCAUUGGAUACUGGCUCGCUAGAGUGCGGUAGAGGGUGGUGGAAUUCCCGGUGUAGCAGUGAAAUGCGUAGAGAUCGGGAGGAACAUCUGUGGCGAAGGCGGCCACCUGGACCAACACUGACACUGAGGCACGAAAGCGUGGGGAGCAAACAGG
rnacentral:rRNA from 1 species